CAUGCAAAUCCCUGUCACUGCUAGAUAUGUGUCCCUGCCCAGCUCCCAUCUCAAACAGGAGUGGCCCCAAACGCUGUGCUCCGUGUGGCAGAGAGUAGAAGAGACACACAGAUCAGACUGAUGGAUGAAAUGGGCACCAACUAACUGGAUGAUUCCAGGAACUGCUACUAUCAACCUGGAUAGCCCAGCCAGCCACGGCACCUGGAAUUGUUCCCACUGAAAUACAGGCUGGAGUAAAGUGUUGUCAGCUGGAUGGCUGCUGCAGUUCCAGCCCUCAAAUCAGCACCCCAAAGAAAAGCAUCACUUCUGGAAGCUGGGCCAGAAGAUCGAAGAAGAAUGUUUCUUUGAUGCAUCUUAUUGACCAAAAUUGGGCCACAUGCCUGUUCCUGAGCCAUCACCAGGAAAGAAGUGGAAAAGCACAUUGCUCAGGGCCAGAGAGAGUGUCAGCUUUCCUCAAGGUAUCUGGACUGGUUAAGGAGCUCAGGUAUAUAAUUCUUCCUGCAGAAGGAUGUGGGCUGUGUUUGCAUGUGUAUGAGACCAGACUCUGCGGCUGCCCGUUUGUUUUGGUUGUCUUAAUGAUGAUCGUGGAUUGCUUCAGGACCGAUGGGUCUGCAGCCUCUGGACCCGUAAGAGAGAUGGCCCAAAUGAGCAAACGGGUUCAACUUAUGAUGGCACCUUACAGUUUUGAGGUCAAACUAGAUGUGACAUCUGUCACCUCUCUGUCACAAGAGCUUGACAUGUCUCUGCUUUUCCUCAUUGCUCAGGAUGCAUGCUUCCCGAGGCUGGACAUCUCAUCUUCCAUCACGCAUGACCUGGGAACACCGUGCCCUGACACAGGAGUGCUUCCAGCUCCGCUUCGGGAUAGCCCAGCCUCCAUCUACAAGGGACCUGUGCUGUCCAAGCCCAUGAAGUUCUGCUAAUCACAGGUCAUCACACCCUCUGAUCACACUGGCCAGUCUCACUCCCAGGACAUGAGGAUGGAGCAAAGACACAGGCAGACAGUUACAGCUGAAUCACUCAAUAUACAACCGUUUCCAAAAUUCCUAGAGCUAGACUGCACUUCCCAACUGCCAGUGGAUCCCUCUUCUUUUAAGUCUGUGAGCACCCCAGCAUCCUUUCAAUAAACUCUCUUCUCUUGC
rnacentral:lncRNA from 1 species